rnacentral:rRNA from 1 species
UGAACGCUGGCGGCGUGCCUAAUACAUGCAAGUCGAGCGAACAGACGAGGAGCUUGCUCCUCUGCCGUUAGCGGCGGACGGGUGAGUAACACGUGGAUAACCUACCUAUAAGACUGGGAUAACUUCGGGAAACCGGAGCUAAUACCGGAUAAUAUAUUGAACCGCAUGGUUCAAUAGUGAAAGACGGUUUUGCUGUCACUUAUAGAUGGAUCCGCGCCGCAUUAGCUAGUUGGUAAGGUAACGGCUUACCAAGGCAACGAUGCGUAGCCGACCUGAGAGGGUGAUCGGCCACACUGGAACUGAGACACGGUCCAGACUCCUACGGGAGGCAGCAGUAGGGAAUCUUCCGCAAUGGGCGAAAGCCUGACGGAGCAACGCCGCGUGAGUGAUGAAGGUCUUCGGAUCGUAAAACUCUGUUAUUAGGGAAGAACAAAUGUGUAAGUAACUAUGCACGUCUUGACGGUACCUAAUCAGAAAGCCACGGCUAACUACGUG